rnacentral:lncRNA from 1 species
CCACCCAUACCAUACCAUUUCGAGCAGUACAAUAGUCUAUGAUUCUAACUGAACUAAGAAUGCUAAAUCUAUGAAACAAUUUCUCUCUUAAAAGAUGUAAAAUUCUGUAAAAUAACUAUAAGGAGACAUCUGCCUUCCUGAAUUAUGUUCUUGAUGAUAAUGAUUUUUUUAAUCCAGUACUUACCUACAAUAUAACUUGUAAACGAAGAUAUAGGUAAAUUAGCAUCCUUGAUGGCCUUUAAAUUAGUUGAUAAAAAUAUGAACAUAAAUCAUCUGGAAAACAAAAGGCACAGAAAAGAACUGCAUAGCUCAACUUGAAACAAGUUGAAAACACGAUAGGAUCUCAGCUCAGUUCAGUUUCAUGUAAUCAAACUGAAAGCCAAGAAUAAUGGUUGACACCAUGAUGACAGCCUUCUUUCCAGUGACACUAACUAUAGAGAAACUAAUCAUCUUAGUUGCACAUCUGAAAAAUUGUUUCCACCAAGAUGUGUGUGUGUAUAUAUACACACCAAGAUGUGUGUGUGUGUGUGUGCAUAUAACAAUUAUGCUUUGCAAUUGAAAAGGUUCAAUGAAUCCAGGGAUUUCUUGUUAAAGGGAAUUCAAUAAAUUUCAUUGUCUUAAUGAGACAGCCAUGAUAUUCUGCUCAUCAUCGCAGCCGAAAAUGCACUUGAUUUAUGUUACUAAUAAUUUAAGGAAAUAAUUUUUUCGAAAAACAUCAUGAAGGAGAGAAAGAGAUAUCAUAAAAGAGAACUAUCAAAAGAAAAGGAAAAAAGGAAAAGUGCAUGCAAGUAAAUUAGUUCAACAAUAGCCGUUAUCCCAACCAGUUGGGGUUGACAACAUGUAUCUCUUGCCACCAUUUUUGGUCCAAUUUUAUCAUAUGAUGGCCUAGCCUUGCUUUGAAAUCAGUGUUGGUACCAUUUUCAUAAUUUGACAAAGCUUUAUGUUUGCUAUUAGUUGCCUAAAGCAAUCCUUCUUUCCCUGAGAGGGACUACCACUGAAGUAUUUUCAAAUGUCGUAUGUGCAAGAUGCAAACAUACAGAGAACCUAUUAAGUGAUUUUUCUCAAAGAAGUUUAACAAACAUUAUGCAAUUAAAUUCUAACAAAAACUUCAAUUCUAAAUUUCUGUGGGCUACCCUAUCCGUUAAUGAAUGGCAUUAUGCAAAGAUAUUCUAACCUUCUUGAUCAACACCUCAGACUUCAGGAUAUAGUAUCACAACAUAAAUUAGCAUAAGCCAAAUAUAACUCCAAUGUCCCUUCAAAAAUCUACAAUGUCAAGACUAACCACUCAUGUUUAAGAGAAAUAUUGUCUUUAUUUUUUCUAUAGUGAAUUAGGUCUUCUUGAUAAUGGAAAUCAUCCAAGGAAGCCUCUGGUAUAUCGGCAGAGACCUAUUGUUGACUCAACAUUAUUUGGCCUUCACAAUAUACUAUUAGGAAGUCAUUCAUAAUAACAAUCUCACAAGAUGACAAAAAUUCUGUCAACUGUGCCUACUUAGAUACUAAAACUUAUGAUGCUUCAAAACAUUAGAACUUUUGUGGGGUCUGUAAACUUUCAAAUAUUACUGAGAAAUUCAAUACAUACAAUUAUUUAUAAGGACAACAUAUUCUUUUCAUCAGGUAAAUGAUAAACAAGAUCAAUUAUACAUUGGGAUCCAGCAUAUCACAUACCGAUGAACUAAACUUAUCCACGAUCAUCUCGAGAACAUCAGUAUCUUCCACACACUGCAUUGUAUCCAUGUAGCCGAAUUGCAUAUUCUCAUCAGCACCAAUCAAUCGAAUGAGAACCUGCUUCACAUUGCCAAUUUCAGAACUAGUUGAAAAAAAAAAGACAGAAAUGCUAAGGACCAGUAUGUUUGUAGAUUUGCAUAUCAACACAAGAACAAACAUAAUGAAACCAUGAACUGCUAACCUCCAUAAUAGAUGUGAUUCCAAUGAGAUCCACAAGUUGAUGAAUUAUUUCUCGAUGACCCUAGACAAUAACAAGAGAAGUAAAUGCAAACCCUCAUUAAUGCAAGUGAUAACAGAAAAGAGGACACCGUAGAACUUUAGCAAAUAACAAACAUUAAUAGUUGAUAUCCAACAGAAACCAGAUUAUAAAGCUUGAAGCAUCUAUAAAACAACUCCAAGAAAGUGCAGAUAAAGCGCAGUAGGAAAAACCAGUGCAAAUCAUCUUCCACACAAGACCUUAAUGCUCAACAUCUAGUGAUGAAGUCAAUCAUUCAACUUUAUGUUUUUCAUAAAAAGAUGGGAGAAUUCAUACAAAUGUUCUCUCAUUUUGAUGGACCAACUGACAAUUUGACCAACCAUAUUCAGCAGUUAAUGCAAAGCAAGCAUAAAUAUUUUUUUCACCAUUUCCAUAAGACCAUAUGAGAAUGAAGGCUAAUCAGCUUCCUCUUAUUCAUGGCUACUGUGCAUACCAACAAAAAACAAUGGAAUUCAAAUUCUCAGAAUCCCUCUUAUACAGUCAUGUUAAGAACACAAAACAAAACUCCAUGACAAAGAAAACUUAAUACCAUCUUGGUAGAGGCUAAUUGAACAAAAAGAAUCAAAACAGAGAAAUUUUAAUUUUUUUGCUUUACCACGUGAACAUCACAAACCUGAACAUAAUUAAGAAGAGGGCCUGCUUUCCGCAUCAUUAGGCAUAUCACAACCUUGCCAAACAACAUAAAAUUUGCAAUACUAGGUGUUAGACACAAAGAAAAGCUUGAAAAUGCUGAGAAAUCACUUGUAACAUUAGUUGUCUUAUAUAAAAAGUUCCAGUGAUUACCUUACUGAAGUAACCAGCUAGCAAUGUACUAUGUGGGUGAUCAGGCUUAAGGAAGGAGAAUAACAAAUCCAGAAGCUGAAACAAGAGAAAAAAGGUGCAAUCUAGAAAAGAGUGGUCAUGUUUAAUCAUACAUAAGCUGUUAGGAGUUUCAUAGAGACAUUUACUUGUACAUCCUCAACUAAAGCCCUCAAUAUGAUAUCAACAUCACAGGUAAAUAUCUCACAUGCAAUAAACGGAAACCUGUAUAAAGACAAGUUUCAACAAAUAAGUCGAGUGGCAAAGUAUUCAAACAAUAUCUCAGAAGACAAAAAAAAUCAUAGCUCACUUGAAAAUAUUCUUCUUAUCAGCAUCCUCAGGCGGCUCCUCUAUAAUAUAACGAAGUAAUUGCUCCAAUUGGGCCUUUCCUCUCAAACUGCAUAUGAGGAUAGCAAAAUAAUAAACGACGAAUAAAGCAUUGCAAAGAGAUCAAAACAAAAUUGCAAAUUACAGAGACGCCUAUGUUCAGAUUCGGCAUUAACAAAAAAGGUUGAAUACAAGGAGAUGUCCAAAAAUUAAUUACAAUAUUUAUGUCACAUAUUUACUUUAUUAAAUAGAAACGAUUACAAUAUAAAAUAAAUUAAAAAACAAGAUAUAUUAUGAUUGCUUCAUAUUUCAAAAUUAACAUAAUUUGCUCAGUGCUUGUUUCUUGCAAAGGAAAAGCGGAUAGGCCAUUCCAACAUCAAAUAUAAUAAGCAUUGAGGCAUCUGGCACUCCAACAAAUAGGUGGCAUCCAAAGAUGCAUCUAAAGAGAUUCUUUUUAAUUGACAUGAGAGGAUCUAUAAGCUUACUAAGAUACAUAAUACUUACUCCCCUCCUUACACAGAGAUGGCAGUUUAUCCUUUUUUAUCAGUAAGUAAAAAACAUUUUAUUGCUUAAAACAAAAAGAAAGCAUACAUUUCAUCUAUAUGCUUGUUUACUAAGAUACACAAUGUUUGUUCCCCUCCCUAUUACAGAUAUGGCAAUUUAUCUCUUUUUUAUCAGUAAGUAGCUUAUUGCCUAAAACUAAAAUUUUCAUUCUAUAGAAUUGAGUAAGACAAGAAACAAACUAACCAGUAACACUUGAAGCUAUAUAACAAUUAU